rnacentral:rRNA from 1 species
CGCUGGCGGCGUGCUUCAUACAUGCAAGUCGAACGAGAAAUCUACUUCGGUAGAUGGAAAGUGGCGGACGGGUGAGUAAUAUGUAGAGAAUCUGCCCUAGAGAGGGGGACAACCGUUGGAAACGACAGCUAAUACCCCAUAUGAGCGUACCUGAAAUGGUAUUCUUGAAAACUCCGGUGCUCUGGGAUGAGUCUGCAUCUGAUUAGCUAGUUGGGGGUGUAAUGGACCACCAAGGCGACGAUCAGUAGCUGGUUUGAGAGGAUGAUCAGCCACAAUGGGACUGAGACACGGCCCAUACUCCUACGGGAGGCAGCAGUAGGGAAUUUUGCGCAAUGGGCGAAAGCCUGACGCCAGCAACGCCGCGUGAUCGAGACGCUUUUCGGAGUGUAAAGAUCUGUCACAGGGGACGAACGAUGACGGUACCCUGAGAGGAAGCACCGGCUAACUCCGUGCCAGCCGCCGC